rnacentral:lncRNA from 10 species
AAUGUUUUUCCUAAUUCAUUCUUAUUUUGCAUCCAGGUUUGACUUUCACAAGGUAUUAUGUCUUAUCCUUUUUCUAAUUUUUGUGUUUGGAGAUUUUAGCAUAAUCCUAGAUAAUGAUUGUUUCCUGUGACUUCAAUGCUAUAUGACUACACUAGACAUCGAAUAACCAUGGCUUGAUAAAAGUUGUAUUCAGCUAAUUAUUUCAAAUUAGUUUUAGGGCCUUAUUCCAGCUCACGAAUAAGGACCCCUCAAGUUUCAAAGAGAAGGAAAAAUGGCGAGGAAAAACACUAAAAUAACUACUGGCAAGGGUGUGUGUUCUCUUGUUCCAAAUAGGCCCAAGAAAAGUAGUCAUUAGUCUUACUAAGACAAGUGCCUCUAGACCCUGACAAGUGAAAAGAGAGGCAGAUCUACAUGCAAGGAGAGAAGCUUGUAAGCUCUUUUAAGAACUGCGUGUUCUCCCACCCACAACUCUGGGGACUGCAAAGCAAUUUUAACUUGCCUACCAAAUGGUCAGAAGGAGCACGAGGAAAUUUUAUCUCACUCAUUCCAGAUGUAAUCCUGCGCAACAUCAGUCAAACUUUUUUUUCUUUCAAAUAGAACACGACAGACUGUGACAAAGUUUGAAUACUCACUCAAACUUCACAGUGCAAGAACAAAGAAAUAGGUCAACAUUUUUGUGAGCUAAAUACAGCAUUUAUAUUAGAAGAAGGGAUUGAAAGAUAUUAGAUGUUGUGUCAAGACCACUGAUUUCAAGUGGAUGACUUGCUAGGUUUUAAGGUUCGAUGAGAAUGUAGCGUGGAGUAGCCCAAUGUAGGGUGGUAUAGAUCCCACCUCUAAUCAAGGGCUUCCCUUACCUUGAAGAGCAAAGGGCGGCUCUGUAGCUCCUGCCUUUGUCUUCAGUGCUUUCCAUCGCUGCAACUGCUACACGUCCCAUAACUGCUACCCAGCCUCCAACAACAGGGGCAAGUCUCCAGGGCUUUUCUCCAUCUGACAUAAUAUAGGUAGACAUCAUAGAAGAUAUGUGCAAGAUGGCUCAGUACAGGGUAAAAAGAGCCAGGGGACAACAAGAAAUACUCCUCUGUUGCGUUAGUCUUCUGAGAUGUUAGGGUUUAUCUGAUACAGCAACUAGCUUUAACC